UCCCAGUCUCCCUUACACUAAUUUCAAAAUUACGUCCAAACUAGCAACCCUCCACAAAUGCAACAGCUCUAAAGAUUAUCCAAAAACUCAGUUUCAUUAUAACAAUUACUCGAAGUGCCCCAACUUCAAAAUCUACUACGCUCGCAAGCAUAAUGCAAAUUUAUUACAGAGUCCUCCGCUUAAGUGUCCAAUUGUGAAUCUCCCAUUAAACAAAAACAAUAGUCAUGACGACAU
rnacentral:misc_RNA from 1 species